rnacentral:tRNA from 2 species
GGGUGAUUAGCUCAGCUGGGAGAGCACCUCCCUUACAAGGAGGGGGUCGUCGGUUCGAUCCCGUCAUCACCCACCA